rnacentral:rRNA from 1 species
UACGGGGGGGGCAAGCGUUGUUCGGAAUUACUGGGCGUAAAGGGCUCGUAGGCGGCCAACUAAGUCAGACGUGAAAUCCCUCGGCUUAACCGGGGAACUGCGUCUGAUACUGGAUGGCUUGAGUUCGGGAGAGGGAUGCGGAAUUCCAGGUGUAGCGGUGAAAUGCGUAGAUAUCUGGAGGAACACCGGUGGCGAAGGCGGCAUCCUGGACCGACACUGACGCUGAGACGCGAAAGCGUGGGGAGCAAACAGG